AAAAUUUUAAAACAACGAAAAAAUUAAAACAAGUAAAAAUGAAAGCAUAUGAAAAAAAAAAAAGCAAGAAGAAGGAAAUUUGUGAAGGGAAAAAGUUAUUAAAAAAUUACAAAGUAGAAAAAAAAUAAGAAAAUAAAAAAGAUUCAGAAAAUAAAAAAAAAUUUAGAACUUUAUAAAAAAUUUUAAAAUAUAAAUAAAAGAAUAAAUGAAAAAAUAAAUUAAGAGAAAAAAUUAAAUAAAAUACCAAAAAAGGAAAAAAUAAAAAUAAACAAAAACAAAAAGUAACAAAGUAAGAAAAUAAAAAAUU
rnacentral:lncRNA from 1 species